AUGAAAAUGCCAACUACGUAUACUAAAACCUGUAUUCGACAAUACUGCAUGUAUCACACUGAGUGGCCUAAGCAAGCAUUUCUUCCAGCGCAAUUCCAGGGCGUUCAAAAGGGGCACGUGGACGCGUUGCAAGAUACAGUCGGAGUGCGGCAUGCAUGCAAUGUGGCACAAGACCGGCAAUACCUUACCGGUGAUGGUCAACGGCCGGCAGACGGGCAGCAAAAAGGUUCUGGUGCUGCACACCAACAAAAACUUCGACUAGCAGAGGAUCAACUGGGUGAUGCACCAAUACCACCUCGGGGACCCGUAGCAAGAGAAGGAGCGGGAGCUGGUCCUCUUCAAGAUUUUCUACAGACGAACACUAGGGCCAUGAGUAAAACGAUUAUAAGUUAG
rnacentral:rRNA from 1 species